rnacentral:lncRNA from 1 species
CACAGGGCUUGAAAAAGCACUUUGGCUGUGUCGGAUAAUACCUGAUUGAAGCAUUUCCGCAACUUGCUUCUCUAUCUCAUCUUUGUGGUGAUGAGAAUAUCGAUAAGGCCUCACAUUAACCGGUCCAUAUCCUGUUGCCAAGGUGAUCUGGUGCUCUUUCUGCCUCUUUGGUGGUAAUCCCACUGGAGUAGCGAAGACAUCUUCAAACUCAGAAAGUAAACUACCCAGUUGCUGCGGUCCAUAUCCUGUUGCCAAGGUGAUCUGGUGCUCUUUCUGCCUCUUUGGUGGUAAUCCCACUGGAGUAGCGAAGACAUCUUCAAACUCAGAAAGUAAACUACCCAGUUGCCGUGUUUGCACACUGGUUAAAU